rnacentral:rRNA from 1 species
CAGUCGCCACGGGAAUACGAAGGGGGCUAGCGUUGCUCGGAAUGACUGGGCGUAAAGGGCGCGUAGGCGGCGGCCAAAGUCAGGCGUGAAAUUCCCGGGCUCAACCUGGGGGCUGCGUUUGAUACUUGGUUGCUUGAGUGGGGAAGAGGGUCGUGGAAUUCCCAGUGUAGAGGUGAAAUUCGUAGAUAUUAUGAGGAACACCGGUGGCGAAGGCGGUUACCUGGAAGAUUCCUGACUCUGAAACACGAAAGCCAGGGGAGCAAACGGGAUUAGAUACCCCAGUAGUCCCUGUCUCUUAUAC